GAUGAACGCUCGCUCCAGGCUUAACACAUGCAAGUCGCGGGGCAGCAUGGGGGUUGCUUGCAAUCCCCGAUGGCGACCGGCGCACGGGUGAGUAACGCGUAUCCAACCUGCCCUUCACCACGGGAUAACCCGGCGAAAGUCGGACUAAUACCGUAUGUUGUCCAUUGACGGCAUCCGAUUUGGACGAAAGGCUUGGCGGUGAGGGAUGGGGAUGCGUCCGAUUAGCCAGACGGCGGGGUAACGGCCCACCGUGGCUACGAUCGGUAGGGGUUCUGAGAGGAAGGUCCCCCACACUGGAACUGAGACACGGUCCAGACUCCUACGGGAGGCAGCAGUGAGGAAUAUUGGUCAAUGGGCGUAAGCCUGAACCAGCCAAGUAGCGUGCAGGAUGACGGCCCUAUGGGUUGUAAACUGCUUUUAUGCGGGGAUAAAGUGGCCCACGUGUGGGCUUUUGCAGGUACCGCAUGAAUAAGGACCGGCUAAUUCCGUG
rnacentral:rRNA from 1 species